GCUGGCGACUAUAGCAAGAGUGAACCACCUGAUCCCUUCCCGAACUCAGAAGUGAAACCUCUUAGCGCUGAUGGUAGUGUGGGAUUACCCAUG
rnacentral:rRNA from 1 species